rnacentral:lncRNA from 1 species
UGCUUCGUGGGAUGAAAACAUGAGAUUGUAAUAUAAUAUUGGAACAAGCAAAACGUCGAAGUGGAGUCUCCAGGAUCAACACACCUAUGGUCAACGCUGUUGAGAUAAUCUGAAGAUCAAUGAUCCUAGUCAUCUUGGCCAAGGAAUUCUUCAACAUAUACAUAUCUUCUUCGUACCCUCACUCAACUCGUCACAUCGGCUACAGCUACGACGAUAGUGAAGCUGACACCGACGCUGGAAGUUCACUCGGCAACAAUGGCUGUGCACUAUGGUACCACUACAAAACAAGAGGGAUGCUUGCACUCACGAAAUAUUGACUCCGCACUUUUGUUGUUGCUUCUCGUUACUAUGAAAAAUAAACAGUUCAGUUC